rnacentral:misc_RNA from 1 species
GAUGAAGAACGCAGCGAAAUGCGAUAAGUAAUGUGAAUUGCAGAAUUCCGUGAAUCAUCGAAUCUUUGAACGCACAUUGCGCCCCCUGGCAUUCCGGGGGGCAUGCCUGUCCGAGCGUCAUUUGUACCCUCAAGCUUUGCUUGGUGUUGGGCGUCUUGUCUCUAGCUUUGCUGGAGACUCGCCUUAAAGUAAUUGGCAGCCGGCCUACUGGUUUCGGAGCGCAGCACAAGUCGCACUCUCUAUCAGCAAAGGUCUAGCAUCCAUUAAGCCUUUUUUUCAACUUUUGACCUCGGAUCAGGUAGGGAUACCCGCUGAACUUAAGCAUAUCAAUAAGCGGAGGA